GCCCCGGUGGCUCAUCGGUCUGAGCGCUGUACCAUAAUCGCAGUGACCUGGGUUCGAUUCCGGCUCGGGUCA